GAUGAACGCUGGCGGCGUGCUUAACACAUGCAAGUCGAACGGUGAAGGCGGAGCUUGCUCUGCUGGAUCAGUGGCGAACGGGUGAGUAACACGUGAGCAAUCUGCCCCUGACUCUGGGAUAAGCGCUGGAAACGGCGUCUAAUACUGGAUACGAGCUGCGAAGGCAUCUUCAGCAGCUGGAAAGAACUUCGGUCAGGGAUGAGCUCGCGGCCUAUCAGCUUGUUGGUGAGGUAACGGCUCACCAAGGCGUCGACGGGUAGCCGGCCUGAGAGGGUGACCGGCCACACUGGGACUGAGACACGGCCCAGACUCCUACGGGAGGCAGCAGUGGGGAAUAUUGCACAGUGGGCGAAAGCCUGAUGCAGCAACGCCGCGUGAGGGACGACGGCCUUCGGGUUGUAAACCUCUUUUAGCAGGGAAGAAGCGAAAGUGACGGUACCUGCAGAAAAAGCGCCGGCUAACUAUGUG
rnacentral:rRNA from 1 species